rnacentral:rRNA from 1 species
AUUGAACGCUGGCGGCAGGCCUAACACAUGCAAGUCGAGCGGAUGAGAGGAGCUUGCUCCUUGAUUUAGCGGCGGACGGGUGAGUAAUGCCUAGGAAUCUGCCUGGUAGUGGGGGAUAACGUUCCGAAAGGAACGCUAAUACCGCAUACGUCCUACGGGAGAAAGCAGGGGACCUUCGGGCCUUGCGCUAUCAGAUGAGCCUAGGUCGGAUUAGCUAGUUGGUGAGGUAAUGGCUCACAAAGGCGACGAUCCGUAACUGGUCUGAGAGGAUGAUCAGUCACACUGGAACUGAGACACGGUCCAGACUCCUACGGGAGGCAGCAGUGGGGAAUAUUGGACAAUGGGCGAAAGCCUGGUCCAGCCAUGCCGCGUGUGCGAAGAAGGUCUUCGGAUUGUAAAGCACUUUAAGUUGGGAGGAAGGGCAGUAAGCUAAUACCUUGCUGUUUUGACGUUACCGACAGAAUAAGCACCGGCUAACUUCGUGCCAGCAGCCGCCGUAACAC